CAUUUAAAACAACACUUCCAAUGGUGUGUCAUUUCCAGUAAAAUGAAGUCCAAAGAGCUUCACUUUAAAAUAUACCUCAUUGUAUUUAAAAUUAAUUAUAUAAUUUCGACUUUGCUGGGUUUAGCACCUUGUAGCAUUAAAAUAGUGAAUCGAUCGGCUCAUAGAAUAGGAUUAACAUUUGAAUUUUCGUAUUCACGUGUGGGAUGUGCAUACAAUAUUAUUCUGAUUGUGAUGUGUAUCAUGAUAAUUAGCAUUGGUGUACCAUUUUUGAAAGAUAUGCCAUAUCCAAAUGACUCAAAAAUUUUAAAAACCAUAACAAUAACUCUUGCAGCAACGGGAAAUAUAGGAGCUAUCGUAAUAAUCGCUAUUCAUGCAAUAAUGCAGAGACAUAUUAUCAGAAUUGGAGAUCAACUGCGUGAUUUUGAUAGUAAACAUGGUGAUGAACUCAUUGGGAGGAGUGAUGAUGCUCUCAGACAUUUUCAACGAAUGAUACCAAUUAUUUUUUUAUUUUUUAUUUGGAUUGGAUUGGUGAUAAUGACUGGGCUGGUUGAAGAAGAAUAUUAUUUUAUCAAUUCAAUUGUAUGGGCAGCAUGUUUCAGCUGGUUAUUAACUCAGUACAGUUUAGUUAUUAUUGUUCUUCGGGGGCGUUUUGAAGGGCUCAAUAAUGCUCUACUUGCUAUAGGCAAAUAUCCUAUUGGUUUUACUGAAAAUUCGUUAUUUCAAGGAAGUUUCACUAAUGAUCGGCUAAUUAUUAAAAAUUUAACUGUGAUGAAACAGGCGAGAAAAAAAAUUUAUAAAAUAACACAUGAAGUUGCCAAAUUCUACUCUUUUCCAGUUUUACUUGUUAUAUCUUACUGCAGUUGUUGCUCUGUCAAUAGCAUGUAUUAUUGUAUUCUGACAUUGUUAACUCCUGAAGUGACUUCUUUCACCAAUAUUAUCAUGAUUGACGCAAUAUUCUGGACACUUCUCACUCUAUAUCCCAUCGUAGUGCUCAGUGCAAGUGUUAAUGGCUUUCACGAGGAAAUUGAAAAAACGGCAGAUAUUGUUUACGAUAUCAUGGAGACGUACACACCAAAUAAUGAGAUCGAAUCAGAAUUGAAUAAUUUUGCUAUUGAAUUACUGCAUAGAAGGGUUGGGUUCAACGCUUGUGGAAUAUUCUCGUUAGACUGCACAUUAUUGCAUUCAAUAUUUGGUAUGAUUGUAACAUAUCUUCUUAUUCUUCUGCAAUUCAAACCAGCGGAAACUGAUUCAAAAAAUUGAAUCAUCAGUUCAUCAUUACGGAGUAAUAAAUUACAUGAAGAGAAAUAUUCAGUAAAUAUUAUGGACCGUUUAGAAAUAAUUAUGUAAUAAUUCCGUAAAAAUUCUGAUAAUUCGCAGUUCACUUCCGAAUUAAGGAAAAAAAAAACAAAAUUUUUAUUUAAUAUUUCUAUCUGUGUAGGAGCUUUAAAUUGGGGGAAUUGGGAUUCGCUUUUUAUUAUUAUGAAACUUGUAAAUAAUGGUUCAAUUGUAGGGUUAAUUAAAUCAACUAUUAAGUGUUAAAGUUCACGUGAAAAUCUGCAAUUCGUUUAAUUGAAAUGUUAUCAGUACAAAAGUAUUUGUAAAUAAUUACGCCAGUGGAAUGUAAAUCCAUCAAUAAAUUGCAAUUUUUUUCCAUCUAAUCGCAACAAAAUCCUCUUUACUUAGGAGAUGAAUAAAUAAUGGCGUAGUACGUAGUUUUCAAAGGAAUCCAUUAACAAAUUGAAUUUCCUGGUACUACUUUUGUCGUAAAGAAUGAGAAAUUC